CUGGCGGCAGGCCUAACACAUGCAAGUCGAGCGCAGUCCUUCGGGACCGAGCGGCGGACGGGUUAGUAACGCGUGGGAACAUACCCUUUUCUACGGAAUAGCCUCGGGAAACUGAGAGUAAUACCGUAUAAGCCCUUCGGGGGAAAGAUUUAUCGGGAAAGGAUUGGCCCGCGUUAGAUUAGAUAGUUGGUGGGGUAAUGGCCUACCAAGUCUACGAUCUAUAGCUGGUUUUAGAGGAUGAUCAGCAACACUGGGACUGAGACACGGCCCAGACUCCUACGGGAGGCAGCAGUGGGGAAUCUUAGACAAUGGGCGCAAGCCUGAUCUAGCCAUGCCGCGUGUGUGAUGAAGGUCUUAGGAUCGUAAAGCACUUUCGCCAGGGAUGAUAAUGACAGUACCUGGUAAAGAAACCCCGGCUAACUCCGUGCCAGCAGCCGCGGUAAUACGGAGGGGGUUAGCGUUGUUCGGAAUUACUGGGCGUAAAGCGUACGUAGGCGGAUCAGAAAGUUAGGGGUGAAAUCCCGAGGCUCAACCUCGGAACUGCCUCUAAAACUCCUGGUCUUGAGUUCGAGAGAGGUGAGUGGAAUUCCAAGUGUAGAGGUGAAAUUCGUAGAUAUUUGGAGGAACACCAGUGGCGAAGGCGGCUCACUGGCUCGAUACUGACGCUGAGGUACGAAAGUGUGGGGAGCAAACAGGAUUAGAUACCCUGGUAGUCCACACCGUAAACGAUGAAUGCCAGUCGUCGGGCAGUAUACUGUUCGGUGACACACCUAACGGAUUAAGCAUCCG
rnacentral:rRNA from 1 species